UGGACGUGGGAGGAGGAGCGAGGAUGACAUUUAUAUCAGAUGAAGAGUUCUGACUGUGUCACAGCUGCACAGACGUCUCAUCGUGUCGGUUUUUCAGCUCUCAGUCAUGAAGAGGUGUGGACUGAUCCUGCUGCUGCUCUCAGGUUACGUGAUGGUCUGCCAUCUUCAGUCUGAUCAGUUAGUCAGACAGCUCCACCUGGUUGACCUGCAGAAGUCCUGGAACGAUGCUCAGCAAUACUGCAGAGAUGAGUACAUUGACCUCGCCAUCGUUAACAGCUCAGCUCUCAUCCAGGAAGCCCAGAAAAGGGCGGGGAGCACCGAGGC